rnacentral:rRNA from 1 species
UGCCAGCCGCCGCGGUAAUACGGAAGGUCCUAGCGUUGUUCGGAAUUACUGGGCGUAAAGCGCAUGUAGGCGGAACAGAAAGUUAGAAGUGAAAUCCCUGGGCUCAACCUAGGAAUUGCUUUUAAAACUUCUGUUCUGGAAUUAAGGAGAGGAAAAUGGAAUAUCCAGUGUAGAGGUGAAAUUCGUAGAUAUUGGAUGGAACACCAGUGGCGAAGGCGGCCCCCUGGAUCGAUACUGACGCUGAGAUACGAAGGCAUGGGUAGCAAACGGGAUUAGAUA